rnacentral:rRNA from 1 species
UACAGAGGGGGCAAGCGUUGUUCGGAAUUACUGGGCGUAAAGGGCGCGUAGGCGGCCAACUAAGUCAGACGUGAAAUCCCCAGGCUUAACCUGGGAACUGCGUCUGAUACUGGAUGGCUCGAGUUCGGGAGAGGGAAGUGGAAUUCCAGGUGUAGCGGUGAAAUGCGUAGAUAUCUGGAGGAACACCGGUGGCGAAGGCGGCUUCCUGGACCGACACUGACGCUGAGGCGCGAAAGCCAGGGGAGCAAACGGG